rnacentral:rRNA from 1 species
GACGAACGCUGGCGGCAUGCCUAAUACAUGCAAGUAGAACGCUGAAGGAGGAGCUUGCUUCUCUGGAUGAGUUGCGAACGGGUGAGUAACGCGUAGGUAACCUGCCUGGUAGCGGGGGAUAACUAUUGGAAACGAUAGCUAAUACCGCAUAAUAGUAGAUGUUGCAUGACAUUUGCUUAAAAGGUGCAAUUGCAUCACUACCAGAUGGACCUGCGUUGUAUUAGCUAGUUGGUGGGGUAACGGCUCACCAAGGCGACGAUACAUAGCCGACCUGAGAGGGUGAUCGGCCACACUGGGACUGAGACACGGCCCAGACUCCUACGGGAGGCAGCAGUAGGGAAUCUUCGGCAAUGGACGGAAGUCUGACCGAGCAACGCCGCGUGAGUGAAGAAGGUUUUCGGAUCGUAAAGCUCUGUUGUAAGAGAAGAACGAGUGUGAGAGUGGAAAGUUCACACUGUGACGGUAUCUUACCAGAAAGGGACGGCUAACUACGUG